rnacentral:misc_RNA from 1 species
AAGUCGUAACAAGGUUUCCGUAGGUGAACCUGCGGAAGGAUCAUUUCCAAAAAAAACAAUACCAACAUACUGUGUGAAAAUGUAGAUACCCAAUUUUUUUACUCUCUUUCUUUUUUCUCUUUUCUUUUUUUUUUUUAGAAGAAGGGGAUUUUCCUUAUACUUUUUAUUUCAAGUAUUGUCACAUGUGUUAUGGAUUUCCAUAAUACACCUCUGACUUUAUAUGAAAAAAAGAGAUCAAUAUAAGAAUUUCCACCAAAACCUUUUUUUAAAAAAAGAAUUAUACAAAAUUGAAAAAGGGGGAGAGGCCUUGUUGAACUACCUUACUUUAAAAGGUUGAUGAUUUACUUUUUUUUAAAAAAAAAACAAAAAAAAUUGAUCAGAUAACUUUUAACGGUGGAUCUCUUGGCUCGU